CAACCUGAGAGUUUGAUCCUGGCUCAGAACGAACGCUGGCGGCAGGCCUAACACAUGCAAGUCGAACGGGGACNUUCGGGUCUUACGUGGCGCACGGGUGAGUAACGCGUGGGAAUCUACCCCAAAGUCGGGGAUAACCGCUGGAAACGGCGGCUAAUACCGNAUACGCCUAUCGGGGCAAAGCUUUUGCGCUUUGGGAGGAGCCCGCGUCCGAUUAGCUAGUUGGUGGGGUNAAGGCCUACCAAGGCUNCGAUCGGUAGCUNGUCUGAGAGGAUGAUCAGCCACACUGGGACUGAGACACGGCCNNGNCUCCUACGGGAGGCAGCAGUGGGGAAUCUUGGACAAUGGGGNCAACCCUGAUCCAGCCAUGCCGCGUGGGUGAAGAAGGCCUUAGGGUUGUAAAGCCNUUUCGGCGGGGAAGAUGAUGACGGUACCCGCAGAAGAAGCCCCGGCUAACUCCGUGCCAGCAGCCNCGGUAAUACGGAGGGGGCNAGCGUUGUUCGGAAUCACUGGGCGUAAAGGGCGCGUAGGCGGACCACCAAGUCAGGGGUGAAAGCCCUGGGCUCAACCUAGGAAGUGCCCUUGAAACUGAUGGUCUUGAGUCCGGGAGAGGAGAGCGGAAUUCCCAGUGUAGAGGUGAAAUUCGUAGAUAUUGGGAAGAACACCGGUGGCGAAGGCGGCUCUCUGGACCGGNACUGACGCUGAGGCGCNAAAGCGUGGGGAGCAAACAGGAUUAGAUACCCUGGUAGUCCACGCCGUAAACGAUGUGC
rnacentral:rRNA from 1 species